GGGAAAAUGACUCCUCUGUGUCAGUACAGAGAGAAUUGGACGCUCCUGUUCUAGAAGUUUCUCCAGAACUGGUUCCUGGUGCAUAUACAGGAAACAGCAAAUGCAUCUCUUUGGCCUGUAUUAUAUGGAAAGUCAGACCACGUGACAUUCCAGGUUCCUUCUGGCUGAACUGCGUUAACUGUUGUCUCUUCAGCUGUUCAAACAAGGAAAUACGUUGGUGUAACCUUUGUCCCUGUGUUCCAUCUCCCUUAGUGAUCCUGGUGUCUCGUGGCUAUCCUUCUGGGUGUUGCCUUUGGCUGACUGCUCUUGGACUUGGCAGUUCCUUGUUCCUCAGGGGCCGGCUGAGUUGAAGGCCAUCUUCAUGGAGCAGUAUGAGUAGCACAAAAGGGACAGGCACAGGAACUCACAGUUGGAGUGCAGCACAUCAGUCCUCCACUGCCUUGCACCUCUGCCAACAUCUAUAGCUCAUUUGAAGGCUAAUGUUCUACAGAGUGUGACUCUGAAGCAAGGCAAGUCUCAGACUCAACAGGAAUUGCCUGGAAUUAAUGAACGUAAAGAUUCAGCUUUGAGUCAUCUUCUAGAGUGAAACAAGCCCAGUGUCUUUUGGUACUGGUUCUGGUGAAGAAAGGUUGGAGCUCAUUCACUUUGCCCUGUUCUUUGCACUACUGGCUCGAAAUGUAAGUAAUAUGAAUAGCG